CUCUCAUUUCUCUCGACUCCUGCCUGGCUUAACCCCAGUAAUGUCCACCUCCUCAAUCGAACCGUCUUCCUAUGCUUCUGGAGCUCUCAAGAUCUCCUUCCACAUUCGGGGUCGAAUUGUUGCCUUCUUGAAUCAGGUGGAGGCGACGACGAUGACGAUCUUCGUUGCGGGAUCGAUCGUCAGGACUCGCGCAGAGGGUGCGGCGUGGGAAGUCAAGAAUCAGCGUUCCUGGGGACCCCCGGUGCGCAGAUUGUCAGGGAGGGCGCGACGGUGGGCUGGGAACCGGGUAUAUGAAGGCGGUGGUGUACGCUGCAACUCGUGGGUCGUCUUUGCCCCAUGGAAGAGUCUUACACGCGGAGCAGGCACUGAGUUUGGGAUUUUGAUGCUUCGAAUGCCAUGAUGAAUCCCAGAUCGAUGACUUUGGUACAGUUGUAAGUGCUGAAGCUCUAAAACGCCCAUUGGAAGAUCUCACUAGUGCUGUCAGGACAUGAAACAAAGUGUCUAGAGUCACAACGGACAUUGAAAGGAACAUAUGCAUCGAUUAUUAUCACAAACACCGUCUCCAGUAUAAGUUCUAGUGCAUCCCUCCGCACAAUUUGAAUCGGUACAUGGGCUGUCUAAGACAACUUUGCAGAUACGAUCAGGUUGUUGUGCCUCAACCACAACAUCAGCUGUUGCAAAGGUAAAUGCAUAAGUAAGGCGACCGUUACGUUUUUAUCUAGAUAUUAUAUGCAAUCAAACAGAAGUUUUUAUAUUGUUGAUAAUAGCAUGAGGUAAUACUGUCACAUGAGUUGUUUAAGUUAGGUGACAAUUACAUUUUUAUCUAGAUAUUAUAUGUAAUCAAACAUGAGUUUUUAUAUUGUUGAUAAUAGCAUGAGGUAAUACUAUCACAUGUGUUGUUAAUCUUAUGCUGAAUUCUGUCCUCUCGUUAAGACACCCAAAUAUAUAUCGCACCUAUUUUAGAAACCAUGAAUUAGAAUCACUUUUUGUGGAGUUUGAUGUGGUAGGAGAAAGCUAGGAGAAAAUGCAAUUUUAUUUUUAUUUUUGCACCUUGAUAUGAUGAAGCCAAAUCUCAAGAGAAAAAAAAAAAGGUAGGUUGGUUGAAGCCAAAGAACCUGUACACAAAAAUUGUACCUUUUUUUUUCUUACCCAAUGCAUAUUGAUGAUGAGUUGGUUUAAUCUUUUACUAUGACUUGGU